rnacentral:lncRNA from 1 species
UACCAACGCUGAAUAUGAACCCAAAUUUGACAAAUUAAAAAUCUCAGGAGUAGAAGAGAAGCUUUUCUAGAAAUAAAGUUACAGAAAAAGCAUAUGCUUAUGGUACUUCUUCUAAUUGUUUUAAUUUUUAAAAUACAGACACAGAGUCUUGCUGUGUUGCCCAGGCUUGUCUUGUACUCCUGGCCUCAAGUGAUCCUCCCACUCCAGCCUCCCAAAAUGCUGGGAUUCCAGGCAUGAGCCACUGUGACCAGCCACCUAUGGUACUU